AGCGAACGCUGGCGGCAGGCUUAACACAUGCAAGUCGAGCGGGCACUUUCGGGUGUCAGCGGCGGACGGGUGAGUAACGCGUGGGAACGUGCCCUCUGGUUCGGAAUAACUCAGGGAAACUUGAGCUAAUACCGGAUACGCCCUUUUGGGGAAAGGCUUGCUGCCGGAGGAUCGGCGCGCGUCUGAUUCGCUAGUUGGUGAGGUACCGGCUCACCAAGGCGACGAUCAGUAGCUGGUCUGCGAGGAUGAUCAGUCACACUUGGCCUGAGACACGGCCCAGACUCCUACGGAGGGCAGCAGUGGGGAAUAUUGGAGGAUGGGCGCAGGCCUAGUCCCGCCAUGCCGCGGGAGUGAUGAAGGCGUUAGGGUUGUGAAGCUCUUUUAGCCGAGACGAUAAUGACGGUACCGGAGGAAUAAGCCCCGGCUAACUUCGUG
rnacentral:rRNA from 1 species